rnacentral:rRNA from 1 species
AUGAUUAGGUCUGCCAAUUGUCAUGUGUUAUGGAAUGGGAAGGAUGGAUUUGAGGUGAUUGAGCAUGGCAAGUUCAGGUGCACUGUCAAUGUGCAACAGGGGGUUUGUGCAUGCAGAUAUUGGCAACUAUCUGGCCUCCCUUGUUGCCAUGCCAUAUGUGCUAUAUACAAAAAGACGGAGGGAGUAGAUGAUUUCAGAGCAAAAUGCUACUCCAUUGAAAUGUACAGGAAGACAUAUGCUUAUUGCUUGGAGCCACUUUUGGGACAAGAGAGUUGGCCAGAAGCAGAUCAUGUGAGGCCAGCAGCACCAGGGUUUAUUAACAUGCCAGGAAGGAAAAAGAAAGAGAGAAGAAGAGAAGAAGGAGAAAAACCGAAGGGCAGCAAGCUUAGCAAGGUUGGAACAACGAUAACAUGCAGCUUGUGUCAUAGAGAGGGCCACAACUCAACAAGCUGCAAAGCAAACCCCAACUCCAUAAAAAAUAUUAACCAGCAUAUUGUGAAACAAGCAAGAAAGAAAAGAAAAGCUGAUAGGGAAAUAUUUGAAGCAAGCAAAUCAUAG